rnacentral:tRNA from 1 species
AAAAAGGUAAGCUAAAUUAAGCUAAUGGGUUCAUACCUCAUUUAUAAAGAUCAAUCUUUCCUUUUUA